rnacentral:lncRNA from 1 species
GUGGAAUGAAAUAUCAAUUAAGCAAGAUUAAAGUACUGAAGAAUUUAACAAAAUACAUAAUAUAAUCUCACUAGGACCCGGUGUCACGAAUCUGAGCCUCUAGAAUACAGAAUAUCAUCCUAAUACAUGGUAUAUCCAAAAUCUGAUAAUGCGGAAAUAAAGAGAUAGGAUAGGAGGGAGAAGAUCAAUGGCUGCGAACGCCGUGCAACUACCUCGAUACUCCCAGAAGCUGGAUCUGCUGAUCAACUGGAUCUACUGAGCCUGAUACUGCCCUGGAUCUGCAUACAAGGUGCAGGGAGUAAAGUGAGUACUCCGACCCAGUGAGUAAUAAAAGUAACUACAGUCCGAAGAUAAGAAAAUCCACUAAAUACACAAAUUAAGCUAAAAUCCAAAUAUACAGCAACAUAUGAAACUGAGCAGCUAAAUAACGGUAUAAAUAGAAAUACUUGAAUGCAAUGCAAUGCAUAUGAUGGUACAUUCCAGUACCCACUGCGGCGUGCAGCCCGAGCCAUCCAUAUUUAUUUAUCGUCGACGACGCUCACUGGGGGUGUGUACAGACUCCGGAGGGGAUCCUACAGCCCAAGCGCAAUAUCUUGGUCAGUCAUUGUUACCUGACCGGUCAGCCAUUGUUACCUGACCAAUUUAUAUCAUACAGUGCCAUUGUUACCACUGUUCAAGUAUAUCAUCCAGUGUCAUUGUUACCACUGUUUCAAGUAUAUCACACAGUGUCAUUGUUACCACUAUUUCAAGUCACUUUAUAAUCAGUCCAGGAAAUAAUGUAAUAAGCCCCUUGGGCAUUUACAAAACAGAAGUUCCAGCCCGGAAUACAUUUAAAAAUAUCAUUUAAGUUUUCAACACUUAGAACUAUGGCUGAGUUUGCAAAACAACAUUUAAAACCUUGGACUGAAAUUAAAUGAUAUGCAAAUCAUGCUAAGCAGUAAUAUCAAUCCUCGAAGGAUUUUACAAAUCGGCACAAGGCCCGAAACAUGGCAUCAAGCCCAGUAAUAUCAACGAAGUAUGUGUAUCAAUCACCAGUAUAGUAUAAACAUCACACGGGAUGGACCAAGUCACAAUCCCCAUUAGUAUCCGACCCCGCACUCGCCAUGGAGUGUGUUCCAUACCUCAAUAUAGAGUUACGAUGUGAAAGUCCGGGGUUUCAAACCCUCAGAACAGCAUUUACAUCUAUUACUCACCUCAAGACGGCCAAAAGUCUACUCCGCGAUGCCCUUUCCUUUCGAAUCGACCUCCUCGCGCGUCGAAUCUUGCCAAAACCACAAGGAAUAUAUUACAACAGGUUAAGGGAAUAUAACCCAAUCGAAAAGACUCGAAAAAUAUCGAAAAUCACGAAAUUUGCAAAAUCCGAGCCCCGGGCCCACUUGUCGAAAAAUUACGAAAGUCACAUCACCGGAUUCCUCGUCUCGCCACGAGUCCGUACAUAUAAAAUUUACCAAAAUCGGAGUUCAAAUGACCCCUCAAAUCUUCAUUUUAGAAUUUCAAUCUCAAGCUCUAAUUUAUUAUAAUUUGGCUAUGUUUUCAUGGAUUUUAAGGAUGAUUCUUCAAUAAAAUCAUGUAUUUAACUCAUAAAACUUACCUCCAAUCGAUCUCAGUUGAAACUCCCUUCAAUCCCCGUCCAAAAGCUCUCAAAAUGACUGAAAAUGGUGGAAAAAUGACCCAAAAUCGGAUAUAAACUCACUACCCAGAUUUUCGAAAUUACUGUUCACGCGCGGGACUGUUCACCCGCGGGUUACUGUUCACUGCUGCUAAAAAAAUACACCAGCAGCCAAUUUAAAUUGCAGCACAACCAUUUUUCACUAAAAUGUCUCUAACUCCAUCAUACGAACUCGGAAUUAGACGAUUCUUGUUCCUAUGAGUCACAAAUAAUAAUACGAACACAACCCUUCAAUCGAAACUCAAUUAGGAGCUCAUUUGCCCAGUGCGAUAUCCAUUUUGCUUGUUAAACAAUUACUCAUGUUUCGCGUCAAAAACCCAAUCGCGACUUGAUGAAAUUAGACCAAAAUUUUCAGAUCAUUCCUAUAAUUCAUUAUCAAAAUUCUGGAAGUCUCGGAAUCAAAUUUGGAUCUCUAGAACUAAAAAUGAACCUUUAGAACAUUACAUUUAUGCUCAAAACGGCAAAAAUCUUCCAAAAACUCUUCCAAAAUUUGUCCGAGCCUCAUGGGAUCCCAACAAAGUAUACUAACAAGUCCCAUAAUAUGACACAAACUUAGUUGUUCCUUCGAAUCACCAAAAACAACGCAAAAAUAUUAAAUUCACCUCGGAUUCAAGCCUAUGAACUUUGAAAGUUCAAAUUUUCACAUCCGAUGUCGAAACACGUCAAAACUAGUCCGAAUGAUCUCAAAUUUUGUAGACAAGUCCAAAAUGACAUAAUGAAGCUACAGCAACUCUCGAAAUUCCAUUCCGAGCCUCAGAUCAAAAUCUUACCUAUCAACCGGAAUUCGCCAAAAUACUAACUUUGCCUAUUCAAGCUUAAUUCUACACCGGUCAUCACAAAAAUAUUCCGGACACACUCCUAAGUCCCAAAUCACCUAACAAAGCUAUCCGAACCAUAAAAUUCACAUUUCAAGUGCUCUAACACAUAAGUCAAUAUCCGGUUGACUUUUCCAACUUAAGCUUCCUUAAAAGAGACUAAGUGUCUCAAACCUUACCAAAAUCAUUCAGGAAUGACUUCAAAUUUUGCACAAAAGUCACAUUCGACAUUAUGGACUUGCCCCAACUUUCGGAAUCGCAUUCCGACCCCGAUAUCAAAAUUUCCACUUCCGGUCGAAUUUUUUCAAAAACCUUCAAAUUUCUAUAUUUAGCCAAACGGCUCCAAAAUGACCUACGGACCUCCGAAUUCACUUCCGAUAGCGUUCCCAAAUCCAGAAUCACCAUAUGGAGCUACUCCCAGUCUCGAAAUUGCAAACGGGCAUCAAUAACACUGAAAUGCAUUUUAAGCCAAACUGAUGCAAUUUCUUCUAAGAUGCUAUCUUCCACAAUAGGCGCCAAAACGCUCCCGGGUUAUCCAAAACCCGAUCCGGGCAUACGCCCAAGUCCGAAAUCAUCAUACUAACCUGCUGCAACCUUCGGAUCCCAAUUCCGAGGUCUUUUACUUAAAAUUCCAAUCCUAGUUCUUUUCUUCAAUUUUAAGCUUUCAAAAUGAGAAUUUCCAUUUAGAUUUGACUCCAAACUUCCUGAAUUUUAAUUCUGACCAUACACUCAAGUCAAUAUACCUGAGAUGAAGCUGCUCAUAGCCUCAAACUGCUGAAUGACAUGCCGGAGCUCAAAACGACCGAUCGGGUCGUUACAACCUGUAACCAAAAGAUCAUCCGGCUUUGCAACUUGUCCGAACCUCGUUCUAUUUGGGAUUUGACACUAACAGAAAGAAGUCACGGCCAGCGUGCACUUCUCAGGAGGGAGAAGAGGAGGGUUUCGUAGCAAUUUAUAUACAGUUCAGAUAAUAUCAAAGCGGUAAAAGCAUCACUUAGCACAUUAGGCCCAAACAUGUAGCAAAAUCAGAUAAAGCCAAAUAUAACAAUUUAUCUAAGCUCGAAUUCUGAACCCUGAACCAGAGAUUCUGGUUUUGAUCCCCAGCAGAGUCACCAGAGCUAUCACACUUCCUUUUUCAUUACACCCCCGUAAGGGUAUAAUGGAGUUUUCCAACUUAAAGUGACAAUCGAAACGGGAUUUAUUUAUUUAAAAUCAUUCAGAGUCGCCACUUGGGAUAAUUAUGGUGUCCCAAGUCACCGGUUCAAAUCCUGAGUCGAGGAAAAGGUUGACUCUAUAUUACAGUCUGCGAACACAAAAAUCUGGGUAAGGAAUUCUGUUAACUUGGGAGAAGGUGUUAGGCAUUCUCGAGUUCCGUGGUUCUAGCACGGUCGCUCAACUGUUAUAAUUGGCAUAUUAUCUGAUUUUAGUACAUGUUUAAACCUAUGUGCAAAUUUUAACUUAAACCGCUUUUAUUCAUUUUUUAAAGAAAAUUGCAACGUUAUUAAAACACGUCUCAACCACGUCACAUAAAUGCACCCGUGAUUUUGACAUAUUUUAACAUCGUUGAGAUUUGGAUUUGGGUCACAUAAAUGCACACCCGAAUUUAAGAAUGUAAUAUUAUUAAAUUAACGUGCCUAAAGCAAUUACGAAUUUGCAACUUUGCGAGUGCCAUGGAAAAUUCGCUAAAUCGCGGCGACUUGAUUUCUAAAAAAUAAACAAGUUAAUUAAACGAGGUCCGUGCAUUUACGACUUUUGUUUGUCACGGCACACCUCAAAUUUCCAUACAAAAUGUGUGCCAAGAAACCAAUAACGAGCAUCACCAAGCAAAACAGAGUUGAGUCACUGAAACUUGAUACACGAACUUCAAACAAGAAUAAUAGGGAAUUGUGGCAAAAAAUAAAUAAAUAAUGGCACACAAGUUGAUCUCCAAUUUUCUCACUACUGCACAAUCAACUAAUAGCAAAUAAUAAGCUAAGAACUAUGAGCUGCUAAUUUACAUGUAAGACACCGUACAACUUAACACAUUAAAUACUAAAAAUAAGUAAUCCAGUACGCUAAAUACUAUGCUAAAUGAAAAUAAGGAAGAUAAAUUUCUUAUCACCUCAAUUUAAUAUACAUCCAAUGAUGAGUUCAAAAGAGUAGCACCUAAAGUUAAUUUAAAAACCAAACUUUGAUUUAUGAGUUUCAACCAAAUGACAACAAACUUAAAUAUACUCCAAAAGAACAUUCGGCACAUGCUGUACAUUUGUUUAAGCUAAAGCAAAAGCUAAAGCUAAAGCUAAAGCUAAAGCUAAAGUUAAAGUUAAAGCAAAAGCAAAAGCAAAAGGGUACUAUUAUUUUAGUCGUUUUUAAUAUUUCGGAAAAAAUUCAAAGUUAUUUAAAACACGUCGUAAGCCACGCUACAUAAAUGCACCCCCGAUCCACAAUAUAUUUUAUCUAACGUUGAGAUUUGGAUUUGGGUCACAUAAAUGCGCACCCGAGUUUAGGAAGGUAAAUUAUUAAAUAGCACGCCUAAAGUAACUACACGUCUUUAAAUUUGCGAGGGCCAUGGAAAUUCAACUAAAUGGCACGCCUCAAAUUUUAAGGAUUCACAUGUUAAUUAAAUGAGGGCCAUGCAUUUGAGAUUUUAUUUGGCACUCUAGUCUAGCUAAUUGAAACCAUGGUACCACCAGCUUCACUCUCAGCGGAUAGAACACCUAGCUAACUUUUAUUUUUAAGGUAAUUCUAGAUCCUACAUUUUAUAGAAACUCUCACAUGUACUGAACAGCUGAACCUAAUGCAUAACACUUAAACCGCGUGAAAUCAGUCAUAAUUGAUAAAAACCUUAACAUGACGAAACCCAACAAAUAAUAGUGCUUUUGCUGCAAAAUUGUUUAUUCCAAAAUGACAAAACAACUAAUAAUCUAGUAAUAAACAAUCAAGACAUAACAAUAUAAAAUUAAAAGAUAACAAAUAUAUUACAACUACUAAAUUUUACAAAGGCAAGAUGUUAAAGCUAGCAAACAAAACUGAUCCAAACGAAAAUGUAACAAGAAUACUCACGUUUACAGCAACAUCGAGUUUUAGCAGCUCGAGCUCGACGGAAAAAAUGGACAGCGAUAACCAUAGACCGGAACCAACGUACGGCAACUUCCUCACGACUCGAACUCAUAAAUGACUCCAAACUUCAUCUUCCUUAUGCUCGUUCCCUCACUCCGUUCAUGUGCUUGACUGUGUGUGCGAAGGUGAAGCUCGCCGGUUAUGGCGUUGUUGGCAGAAGGUCUGGCGGGUCAAGGUCGACAAAAAUGGGUGGUGGGGUCUGGUUGUUGGGUGUUGCGGCUGUUUUCCGGCAGGUUCAGGCUAGUCGGUGGCUUAGGGGUCUAGAGUUGUUCGAGAAGUUCAGCGGCUAUGGAGGAUGGCUGUUUCGCGAUGGCGCUGGUUCGAUGAGGGGUGACGACUGGUUUUGUGCUGUGGUUGUGGGGCGUCGCUGGCUUAGGGUGUGGAGGAGGUUCAACGACGAUGGUGAGCUAAAGGAUGGUUGUCGAUGGCGUUGCUAGGCGCUGGCUGUUACUGAAAAAGAAGAAGUGAACGACAGUGGGGUGGGUCGGGGAAGACGAUGAUCAGGGGGCGGGGUCGUUUGUGUAUGGCUGAAGACCAAGCAAUCCGGUAGGGAGGGGGGUCGUCUGUAUUGCGGCGCUCACCUCAUGAAGAAGAUGAAGUUCUCAGGGGUUCUCCUCCCUCUCCCUCUGUGUGUGAAUGGAUCUAAUUCUUAUAGAGGAAGAAAUGUGCGAGAGCAAAAUCGUGUGGGCCCUCUUGGGUGUAGCUGAGUGGAAUUGCCAUUAUGCUCAUUUUCCACAAUGUAAAGAACAAGAGUCCAGAAAAAGCAUCUCUGGCAUGUCAAAACAAGUCAAGGGAAGUAGGCCCCACUUGAAAACAAAGGAGAAAUUAGAGCCACG